rnacentral:lncRNA from 1 species
AUGUGUACUUCAUGGUGUACACUGAAGCUUCCUGGUCACAAACUGGGACAUUGGUCAAGGCCCAGCCACUGCUUGGGUACUUCCUGGAACCAGGGGACACAGGACCACAGGGUGUGUGGGUGGCAGGUAGCAGAUAGGGCCAGGGACCUGCCUGACAGAACUGAGGGCCUGAGAGUGUGGCAGAGCCAGCUGGGCCUGCGGAGAAGCACCUACCCUUUAGGCCUCUCUGCCUCCAGAGAGGGCGGAGAGGGACUCACAGGCAAGUUGGGUGCAGGCUGGCACUGCCCCCGUGCUUUCCUCACCCCAAAGCCUCCUCCACAGGGCCUCAGCUGGCAAAUGGCUGUAUGCCAGCCUGGCCUGCGCCCCUCUCCCGCUCCUGCCCUGUGCCGGCCUUCCUCCUUCCGGAUUCUUGGAGAGCUCAGCCUUGCAAGACGCAGGGAGGUGGAGGACCCAAGGAGUCAGAGCCCGGCUUCUCCCCAAGGGAGCCAGGGUGCCUGGAGCCUAGAGAGCUUUGGGGAGGCCCGCCUAGUAGGAGGCAGGCGUGUGCGCCAGCUGCUAGUCUGGACGGGCUGGCUGGUCCUGAGCAGGCCCUGGGCUGGGGCUCUCAGCUGGCUGUCCCUAUGCUUUCUUUCCAAAGAUUGGAUGGAGUGGGAGCCUGCUCAGCGUUUCUUGGAAGUGAAGCUGCCCAUGAGAACCCAGUCAUCGGGCCCAGCCACACUGUGCUCCAGUCCCCAAAGAUCACCAGCCACACUGAGCUCUGGAGGCUUGGAGUAGGAGCGGCCUGGGGACUGUCACUGGGAGAGCAGCUAAUGGAGUGAUGAGAGAGCGUCGCCUACUAGUCUGGAGCUGUCGCAUGUGGCCGCCUGGCUGACCAGAGGGCAGGACCUGGGCGGGGCUGGAGACGCCUGCAGGGCCUGGCCCAGCUGCUCGGCCUGCAGUGCACACCCCUGUGCGCACAUAGGCGCUUAGGGUACACGGUGAGGAGAUUUGACUUGCAGAUCAGCGCAACCUGCAGUUGAGGAGAGAGUUGGGAGCACUCAAUGACUCUAGGCACGUUCCCUCUGCUCUCAGAGCCUCUGUUUCCCCUCCUGUGCCACAAGGUACAGUGCAGGUGUUUGCAAACUCCCACGGACAACCUAAGCUCACCGUCUGGUCCCCAGAGGGGAUCCUCAUGUCAUGGAAAGGCUACUGUCCUCCCUGGAAAUCUCCACUUGCCCAAAGGUUGUUGGGACUGGUUGUUGGGACAGGCAGCACACACAGAGGCUGCCACUGACAGACAUAGGGUAUGAUGUGCUGGGUGCAGCCAGGAAGCUGCAGGCCCCCCUCAGCCCAUCCUACUGUCUCUGUGCAAGUCGGGAACAGCAGUGUUCCCACUGCAAAAGGACAGACAGAAGCAGCCGCGGCUGCCCUCAAGGCUUCUGCGCACCAGCCCAACCCUGGCCAGAGUUCCUGAGUCAUACACACACACACACACACACACACACACACACACACCCCUCCUGUCUCCUCCCCCAGGGCCGUGGGAGGCGCAGCUUGUGCCCAACAGGCUCCCUCUGGCUUGUGAGUUGGUGUGAGGGCCGCUAUCCAAGACGGCUACCUCCUGCUGGUUACUUACUGUGGACACCACAGGCCUCCAGCUUCUGCUUCUCCAGGCCAGACUCUCUGCUGUCCCAGGGGACCUGGAUUCUGACCCUCCCUGUGACUCAGAGACAGCGUGGGGACAGACAGAUCGGGUGCGAGGUGCUGGGGCCUACCUCCCCGUACCGAUAGCUUCCCCAUAUUCUCUCUCACCCCAGUGUGAUAGGGUCUCAGGGGGCCACACCACCCUUCACUCCGAAAGUGAAGCAACGGGCUAAGAUCGGUGGUGUGUUUAUCUACUUCUUCCCUUAUGCUGGGGCUCCCUGUGGACAGCGCAAUUGAAGGAAGGGGCACUGACAGGACGAACUUGGGGAUCAUUAGGCCAAUAAAAUCAUCUGUAGGUCCUCAGUUGCUAGCCCAGGAUAAGUCUUUGAAGGAUGAUUUUCUUCCUUUGCUUUUUAAAAUCUGGAGGAUAGGUUGUUCACAAAAACAGAUCUUUAAAGGGGGUGGAAAGUUAAAACAAUCAAGACUCAUACCAAUACCCUGCCGUGAAUAUACUCAUUAUGUCACAAAUAUAUACUAAUAAAUUUUUUAAAAACAGAUUAGAGAUUGGGAUCACUAAAAUAAAUUUUUAAAAGGCUA